rnacentral:rRNA from 1 species
UGAAUACGAGAUGCUACGGCGUCGAAGCAGUGUAUGUCAGACUUCCAAGAAAAGCUCGCAAUGUCAUAAAUAAAGAAUGCCUGUACCAUAACCAACACAGGUGGGUAGGUAGAGUAUACUAAGGGGCGCGAGAUAACUCUCUCUAAGGAACUCGGCAAAAUAACUCCGUAACUUCGGGAGAAGGAGUGCCUUUUUUAAGAAGGUUGCAAUAACAAGAUCCAAGCAACUGUUUAUCAAAAACACAGGUCUCCGCUAAGUCGUAAGACGAUGUAUGGGGGCUGACGCCUGCCCAGUGCCAGAAGGUUAAAGAAGUUGGUUAGCUUUUGCGAAGCUGAUGACUGAAGCCCUGGUGAACGGCGGCCGUAACAAUAACGGUCCUAAGGUAGCGAAAUUCCUUGUCGGGUAAGUUCCGACCCGCACGAAAGGCGUAAUGAUUUGGAUACUGUCUCGGAGAGGGACUCGGUGAAAUAGACUUGUCUGUGAAGAUGCGGACUACCUGCACCAGGACAGAAAGACCCUAUGAAGCUUUACUGUAACUUGAAAUUGAAAUUGGACUUUAUUUGCGCAGUAUAGGUGGAAGGCGUUGAAAGUAAUCUUGCGGGAUUAGUGGAGCCAUCAGUGAGAUACCACUCCUAUAAUGUUAGAUUUCUAACUUUGGAUCAUGAUCUGGUCAAAGAACAGUUUCAGGCGGGCAGUUUGACUGGGGCGGUCGCCUCCCAAAUGGUAACGGAGGCGUACAAAGGUUUCCUCUGAACGGGUAGAAAUCGUAUCUAGAGUGUAAAGGCAUAAGGAAGCUUGACUGUGAGACCUACAAGUCGAGCAGGGACGAAAGUCGGUCUUAGUGAUCUGACGGUGCUGAGUGGAAAGGCCGUCACUCAACGGAUAAAAGUUACUCUAAGGAUAACAGGCUGAUCUCCCCCAAGAGUUCACAUCGACGGGGAGGUUUGGCACCUCGAUGUCGGCUCAUCGCAUCCUGGGGCGGUAGUACGUCCCAAGGGUUGGGCUGUUCGCCCAUGAAAGCGGUACGCGAGCUGGGUUCAGAACGUCGUGAGACAGUUCGGUCCAUAUCCGGUGUAGGCGUUAGAAUAUUGAGAGGAGCCUUCUUUAGUACGAGAGGACCGAGAAGGACAUACCUCUGGUGUACCAGUUAUCGUGCCAACGGUAAACGCUGGGUAGCUAUGUAUGGAGAGGAUAACCGCUGAAAGCAUCUAAGUGGGAAGCCCACCUCAAGAUGAGUAUUCUCA